rnacentral:rRNA from 1 species
UACGUAGGUGGCGAGCGUUGUCCGGAUUUACUGGGCGUAAAGGGAGCGUAGGCGGACUUUUAAGUGAGAUGUGAGAUACUCGGGCUCAACUUGAGUGCUGCAUUUCAGACUGGAAGUCUAGAGUGCAGGAGAGGAGAAUGGAAUUCCUAGUGUAGCGGUGAAAUGCGUAGAGAUUAGGAAGAACACCAGUGGCGAAGGCGAUUCUCUGGACUGUAACUGACGCUGAGGCUCGAAAGCGUGGGGAGCAAACAGG